rnacentral:rRNA from 1 species
UAGGGGAGAUCGGAAUUCCUGGUGUAGCGGUGAAAUGCGCAGAUAUCAGGAGGAACACCGGUGGCGAAGGCGGAUCUCUGGGCCGAUACUGACGCCGAGGAGCGAAAGCGUGGGGAGCGAACAGGAUUAGAUACCCUGGUAGUCCACGCCGUAAACGGUGGGCACUAGGUGUGGGCGACAUUCCACGUCGUCCGUGCCGCAGCUAACGCAUUAAGUGCCCCGCCUGGGGAGUACGGCCGCAAGGCUAAAACUCAAAGGAAUUGGCGGGGGCCCGCACAAGCGGCGGAGCAUGUGGCUUAAUUCGACGCAACGCGAAGAACCUUACCAAGGCUUGACAUACACCGGAAAACUCUGGAGACAGGGUCCCCCUUGUGGUCGGUGUACAGGUGGUGCAUGGCUGUCGUCAGCUCGUGUCGUGAGAUGUUGGGUUAAGUCCCGCAACGAGCGCAACCCUUGUCCCGUGUUGCCAGCAGGCCCUUGUGGUGCUGGGGACUCACGGGAGACCGCCGGGGUCAACUCGGAGGAAGGUGGGGACGACGUCAAGUCAUCAUGCCCCUUAUGUCUUGGGCUGCACACGUGCUACAAUGGCCGGUACAAUGAGCUGCGAUACCGUGAGGUGGAGCGAAUCUCAAAAAGCCGGUCUCAGUUCGGAUUGGGGUCUGCAACUCGACCCCAUGAUGUCGGAGUCGCUAGUAAUCGCAGAUCAG